UACGAGGGGUGCAAGCGUUGCUCGGAAUUAUUGGGCGUAAAGGGUAGGUAGGUGGUUACGUAUGUCUGGGGUGAAAUCCCUGAGCUCAACUCAGGAAGUGCCUUGGAAACGGCGUAACUAGAGUGCUAGAGAGGUUCGUAGAAUUCCCGGUGUAGCGGUGAAAUGCGUAGAGAUCGGGAGGAAUACCAGAGGCGAAGGCGGCGAACUGGAUAGCAACUGACACUAAACUAUGAAAGCGUGGGGAGCAAACAGG
rnacentral:rRNA from 1 species